AGUUAGAACCAGACAGCCAAAAAAUAAUACAGAAAAGAAGGAUUACCUAUCCCAUCUCGCCGCCGUUUCUCUGAUUUUGUGUCUUUCUCUCCUCACACACGCCAAUGGAAGAGGCAAACAAUACUCUUGAUCUAAUUGAUAUGGUACUCAUCAUCGCCAUUCGUCAUUUGGUUUAUUUGGGCGUGGAUGUUUCUUGUUUCCCCAUUUGGCUAGUCGCUCUCAAUUUUGUUCCACACAAAAUUGAGAGGAAGAGCAUUCUGAAUAGUCUGAAUCAAGAACCCCCACAAUAUCUCUCGAUUCUUCAAGAAGACUUCAAGCUACAGGACAACUGUUAAAUUUUUCCCUCUUUGAUCCUAAUUGUCGAAUCUGCAACUGUAAGCCACAACCCGCAUCCAAAGACAACAACAUACUGACUCUGUCACUCUAAGAUAUUGGGUUUGGAUAUAUUUGUUUUCCGCUAGGUAUGUAGGAAAGUUGCUUAAAGGACAGACAAUUGAGGUCAUUGGUGGUGGUCGUAUUGGAUCUACUUAUGCCAGAAUGAUGGAAUCUGUGAAGACCAAGCAUCCUUAGCUUCAUUAUGAGUCAAAGUUAUACAUGCUUCUACAAGGAGGGACGAGUAUCACCCAUCUGAAAUGGUUUGGUGUUGAGGGCGAGUACAAUGUUAUGGUUAUUGACCUUUUAGGGCCAAUCGAAAGUUUGCAAUCCUAGAAGACUUGUUCAACUAUUGCAAUCGAAAGUUUUCUUUAAAAAUAGUUUUGAUGCUUGCAGAUCAGUUAAUAAAUAGAGUUCAGUUUAGGGCGCAAAGCUAAUCAGGUGACGCCCGAGUUACAAAAUGUUGGAAAUGGAGGCUACGUUAUAUGAAACCAAUGCAAGUGAUCGAUGGAAAAUAGAAUAUUUUUAUAUGAAGUUUCCUCUACACAUUACGAUUUUCUGCAUUAGUUAUUUGAUUUUUGCAUUUUAUAUUUGCUUCGUGAUUAAUAAUUUUUAAUUUGUAAUUGUAAUUGAAGGUUGAAGCCUUGAAUUUAUGAGAUUGUAUUUGUAAAUUUUAAUUGUUUAGUGACUCAGUAUAAAGUGAAUAUGUCAAUUUGCAUUUUUGCAGCAAAUUGAUUUUUAAUUUAUUAGAUUGUAUUUGUAAAUUGUAAU